UACGUAGGGUGCGAGCGUUAAUCGGAAUUACUGGGCGUAAAGCGUGCGCAGGCGGUUCGUUGUGUCUGGUGUGAAAGCCCCGGGCUCAACUUGGGAACGGCAUUGGAAACUGGCGAGCUAGAGUGUGGCAGAGGGGGGUGGAAUUCCGCGUGUAGCAGUGAAAUGCGUAGAUAUGCGGAGGAACACCGAUGGCGAAGGCAAUCCCCUGGGCCUGCACUGACGCUCAUGCACGAAAGCGUGGGGAGCAAACAGG
rnacentral:rRNA from 1 species